rnacentral:rRNA from 1 species
GACGAACGCUGGCGGCGUGCUUAACACAUGCAAGUCGAACGGUCAAGCGAGUGCUUUCCCUCUUUGAUCAUUGGCGAACGGGUGAGUAACACGUGAGUAACCUGCCCAUCACUCUGUGAUAAGCCCUCGAAACGGUGUCUAUUACUGGAUACGACCUACCCUUGCAUGUGGUGUUGUUGGAAAGAUUUAUCUGUCAUUGAUUUAUUCGCGGCCUAUCAGCUUGUUGGCUGGGUAAUGGUAGACCAAGGCGACGACGGAUAGCCGACAUGAGAGGGUGAACGGGCACAAGGGGACUGAGAGACGGAGCAGAAGGCUACGGGAGGCAGCAGUGGGGAAUAUGGCAGAAUGGGGGAAAGUCAGAUGCAGAGACGCCGCGUGAGGGAAGACGGCCUUCGGGGUGUAAACAUAUUUGAGAAGGGAAGAAGAGAAAGUGACGGUACCUGAAGAAGAAGCAACGGCUAACUACGUG